UACAGAGGGUGCGAGCGUUAAUCGGAAUUACUGGGCGUAAAGCGCGCGUAGGCGGCUCUGCAAGUCGGGUGUGAAAUCCCCGGGCUCAACCUGGGAACUGCAUUCGAGACUGCAUUGCUUGAGUAUGGGAGAGGGAGGCGGAAUUUCAGGUGUAGCGGUGAAAUGCGUAGAUAUCUGAAGGAACAUCAGUGGCGAAAGCGGCCUCCUGGACCAAUACUGACGCUCAUGUGCGAAAGCGUGGGGAGCAAAC
rnacentral:rRNA from 1 species